rnacentral:rRNA from 1 species
UACGGAGGGUGCAAGCGUUAUCCGGAUUCACUGGGUUUAAAGGGUGCGUAGGUGGGAAUGUAAGUCAGUGGUGAAAUCUCCGUGCUUAACAUGGAAACUGCCAUUGAUACUAUGUUUCUUGAAUUUUCUGGAGGUCAGCGGAAUAUGUCAUGUAGCGGUGAAAUGCUUAGAUAUGACAUAGAACACCAAUUGCGAAGGCAGCUGACUACAGGGACAUUGACACUGUGGCACGAAAGCGUGGGGAUCAAACAGG